rnacentral:rRNA from 1 species
UACAGAGGGUGCGAGCGUUAAUCGGAAUUACUGGGCGUAAAGCGCGCGUAGGCGGCUUUGCAAGUCGGGUGUGAAAUCCCCAGGCUUAACCUGGGAACUGCAUUCGAGACUGCAUUGCUAGAGUAUGGGAGAGGGAAGUGGAAUUUCCGGUGUAGCGGUGAAAUGCGUAGAUAUCGGAAGGAACAUCAGUGGCGAAAGCGACUUCCUGGACCAAUACUGACGCUCAUGUGCGAAAGCGUGGGGAGCAAGCAGG